AUGAACGCCGGCGGUGUGCCUAAUACAUGCAAGUCGAACGCGUUGGCCCAAUUGAUUGAUGGUGCUUGCACCUGAUUGAUUUUGGUCGCCAACGAGUGGCGGACGGGUGAGUAACACGUAGGUAACCUGCCCAGAAGCGGGGGACAACAUUUGGAAACAGAUGCUAAUACCGCAUAACAGCGUUGUUCGCAUGAACAACGCUUAAAAGAUGGCUUCUCGCUAUCACUUCUGGAUGGACCUGCGGUGCAUUAGCUUGUUGGUGGGGUAACGGCCUACCAAGGCGAUGAUGCAUAGCCGAGUUGAGAGACUGAUCGGCCACAAUGGGACUGAGACACGGCCCAUACUCCUACGGGAGGCAGCAGUAGGGAAUCUUCCACAAUGGGCGCAAGCCUGAUGGAGCAACACCGCGUGAGUGAAGAAGGGUUUCGGCUCGUAAAGCUCUGUUGUUAAAGAAGAACACGUAUGAGAGUAACUGUUCAUACGUUGACGGUAUUUAACCAGAAAGUCACGGCUAACUACGUGCCAGCAGCCGCGGUAAUACGUAGGUGGCAAGCGUUAUCCGGAUUUAUUGGGCGUAAAGAGAGUGCAGGCGGUUUUCUAAGUCUGAUGUGAAAGCCUUCGGCUUAACCGGAGAAGUGCAUCGGAAACUGGAUAACUUGAGUGCAGAAGAGGGUAGUGGAACUCCAUGUGUAGCGGUGGAAUGCGUAGAUAUAUGGAAGAACACCAGUGGCGAAGGCGGCUACCUGGUCUGCAACUGACGCUGAGACUCGAAAGCAUGGGUAGCGAACAGGAUUAGAUACCCUGGUAGUCCAUGCCGUAAACGAUGAGUGCUAGGUGUUGGAGGGUUUCCGCCCUUCAGUGCCGGAGCUAACGCAUUAAGCACUCCGCCUGGGGAGUACGACCGCAAGGUUGAAACUCAAAGGAAUUGACGGGGGCCCGCACAAGCGGUGGAGCAUGUGGUUUAAUUCGAAGCUACGCGAAGAACCUUACCAGGUCUUGACAUCUUGCGCCAACCCUAGAGAUAGGGCGUUUCCUUCGGGAACGCAAUGACAGGUGGUGCAUGGUCGUCGUCAGCUCGUGUCGUGAGAUGUUGGGUUAAGUCCCGCAACGAGCGCAACCCUUGUUACUAGUUGCCAGCAUUAAGUUGGGCACUCUAGUGAGACUGCCGGUGACAAACCGGAGGAAGGUGGGGACGACGUCAGAUCAUCAUGCCCCUUAUGACCUGGGCUACACACGUGCUACAAUGGACGGUACAACGAGUCGCGAACUCGCGAGGGCAAGCAAAUCUCUUAAAACCGUUCUCAGUUCGGACUGCAGGCUGCAACUCGCCUGCACGAAGUCGGAAUCGCUAGUAAUCGCGGAUCAGCAUGCCGCGGUGAAUACGUUCCCGGGCCUUGUACACACCGCCCGUCACACCAUGAGAGUUUGUAACACCCAAAGUCGGUGGGGUAACCUUUUAGGAGCCAGCCGCCUAAGGUGGGACAGAUGAUUAGGGUG
rnacentral:rRNA from 1 species